rnacentral:rRNA from 1 species
UACGUAGGGGGCAAGCGUUAUCCGGAUUUAUUGGGUUUAAAGGGUGCGCAGGCGGAUUUUUAAGUCAGCGGUCAAAUCGUGGGGCUCAACCCCAUCCAGCCGUUGAAACUGGGGAUCUAGAGUGUGCGAGAGGUAUGCGGAAUGCGUGGUGUAGCGGUGAAAUGCAUAGAUAUCACGCAGAACCCCGAUUGCGAAGGCAGCAUACCGGUGCACAACUGACGCUCAGGCACGAAAGCGUGGGUAUCGAACAGG